rnacentral:lncRNA from 1 species
UCACCCUCUCUGAUUUUUGAAUUCGGUUUUGGGGCAUUGUCCUGGCAACCAAAUUGAGCAUGAGUUGAUUGGGAAAUUAAAUAGAGUUUCUUUUAGCCACCAAAGUGUCCAUAAGCUAAUUAAGAAUUAAUCACGGUUCACAACUGAUGUUGUCAAUAAAAUUGACCCAGUAGUCAAUUCCAAUGGGUCAAUAGCCACAUGCCCA